rnacentral:rRNA from 1 species
CGUGUAGGCGGUCAGGUAAGUGGGAUGUGAAAUGCCCCGGACUCACCCGGGGACCGGCAUCCCAAACUGCCUGGCUUGAGUAUGGGAGAGGAUGAGGGAAUUCCUGGUGUAGCGGUGAAAUGCGUAGAUAUCAGGAGGAACACCGGUGGCGAAGGCGCUCAUCUGGCCCAAUACUGACGCUGAUGCGCGAAAGCUAGGGGAGCAAACGGGAUUAGAUACCCCGGUAGUCCUAGCCGUAAACGGUGAUCACUAGGUGUUGGAGGCAUCGACCCCUCCAGUGCCGCAGCUAACGCAUUAAGUGAUCCGCCUGGGGAGUACGGCCGCAAGGUUGAA